rnacentral:tRNA from 1 species
GCCCGGGUGGUGAAAUUGGCAAACACGUUAGCUUCAGGAGCUAAUGCCCGUAAGGGCUUGGGAGUUCGACUCUCCCCUCGGGCA